UACGUAGGGGGCAAGCGUUGUCCGGAAUCAUUGGGCGUAAAGAGCGUGUAGGCGGCCCGGUAAGUCCGCUGUAAAAGUCAAAGGCUCAACCUUUGAAUGUCAGUGGAUACUGCCGGGCUAGAGUCCGGGAGAGGCGAGUGGAACUCCUGGUGUAGCGGUGGAAUGCGCAGAUAUCAGGAGGAACACCGGUGGCGAAGGCGCCACUCUGGGCCGGUACUGACGCUGAGGAGCGAAAGCGUGGGUAGCAAACAGG
rnacentral:rRNA from 1 species